GCCUGGCUGGCUCAGUCAGUGGAGCAUGCAAGUCUUGAUCUUGGAGUUGUGAGUUCAAACCUCAUGUUGGGUG
rnacentral:tRNA from 1 species